CGUCCUGUGUUUUCUGUGUUGUACUUCACUAGAGUCUCCGACGCCGUGUGCCCGUGGUGUUAUUCAUCUCAUCUCUUAUUUCUCUACCGUGUGUUUUAUUCCACCGGCGGGCAGCGUGCGUGCGCCCAUCUCUUCUUCGCAGAGAGAGGAACAACCCGGGGAACGUACCAACGAACUACGAGAAACCGACAACGUGUUGGAAUACGUGCAACCCUCACCCACACACUCACCCUCUCUCGUACCCUCCUCGCACCACCACCACCACCACCUCUCCUCUCCUCUUUCGUUACGCCUACGUAAUCAGAGGGAAUACGCGACACGCGCGCACGUGCACACACCUGUUCUAUCCUCUCUCUCUCUCUCUCUCUUUCUUUCUCUUAUUUUUACCUUUUCGUUACAUUUUUUUGUUAACCCACCUCCCCCUUUCCCCCAUCUCCCCCCCAUCUCCCAUUCUCUUCUCCUCUCUUCUCUUCUCUUCUCUUUGCUUUUUUCUUUUACCGUUUUGUUUUUCCAAUGAGUUGAAGUUUCAAUAACCAUCAUUCCGAUUUGUGACACACGUUGUUAUUAUUAAUUUGUUUAUUAUUUUAAAUUUUGUUUGAAUUGUCCUAACACCCCCAACCCUUUGUCCCUGUAUUUAUUAAGAAGAAUUAUCGAAGAAAAUUCGGGAUAAGGGUGAUGGAGAAUAUUUAAAUGGUGUGUGAACGAUUGAUUAGUGAACCACGUGGAUUGUUACUACUGCUGCUACUACUGCUGUUGUUACUGCAACUGCACUGAAUAGAAGAAUAUUAUAUACCAAGAAAGUGUCCCCAGUGUUAAAAGUUUUAAAGAAGAAGAAGAAAAAUAAAAAUAGUUACGUUAAAGUGAUGAUACAAACGAAAACAAGUGGAUAAUAAUAAUAAUAAUAAUUUGUAUUCGAUCAUUUCUAAAAAUUGUGUGACAAGGAAGGAAUAAAAAAAUAGAAAUGUCAAGUGAAUUGGUUGGUUGAGUGAAUUAUUAGAAGAAGACAAAAGUAAAAGAAAAAUUAUUCGAAUCGAGGAUUUAUAUUAAUCGAUUUAAUGUGAUUCGAUAAAGAGUGUUGUAACGAUUUAAAAGAGGAUCGUUGAAAUUAUUUGAAAUAAAAA
rnacentral:lncRNA from 1 species